UCUCUAAUAGUUAAAUGAAAAUAAUAUCAGAUUGUGGGGCUGAAGUUCGUUUAGAGAG
rnacentral:tRNA from 1 species